GACAGUCUCAGUUCAGAUUGUAGGCUGAAACUCGCCUAUAUGAAGUCGGAAUUGCUAGUAAUCGCAGAUCAGCAUGCUGCGGUGAAUACGUUCCCGGGCCUUGUACACACCGCCCGUCACACCAUGAGAGUCGAUAACACCCGAAGCCUGUAGUCUAACCAUAAGGAGGACGCAGUCGAAGGUGGGAUUGAUAAUUAGGGUGAAGUCGUAACAAGGUACC
rnacentral:rRNA from 1 species